AUUGAACGCUGGCGGCAUGCUUUACACAUGCAAGUCGUGCGGCAGCGCGGGGGCAACCCUGGCGGCGAGCGGCGAACGGGUGAGUAAUGCAUCGGAACGUACCCUGGAGUGGGGGAUAACGCCGCGAAAGCGGCGCUAAUACCGCAUAUGCUCUGAGGAGGAAAGUGGGGGACCGCAAGGCCUCACGCUCUGGGAGCGGCCGAUGUCCGAUUAGCUAGUUGGUGGGGUAAAGGCUUACCAAGGCGACGAUCGGUAGCUGGUCUGAGAGGAUGAUCAGCCACACUGGGACGGAGACACGGCCCAGACUCCUACGGGAGGCAGCAGUGGGGAAUUUUGGACAAUGGGGGAAACCCUGAUCCAGCCAUGCCGCGUGAGUGAAGAAGGCCUUCGGGUUGUAAAGCUCUUUUGGUCGGGAAGAAAGUGCUCUGCUUAAUACGCGGGGUAUUUGACGGUACCGGCAGAAUAAGCACCGGCUAACUACGUGCCAGCAGCCGCCGUAAAAC
rnacentral:rRNA from 1 species